rnacentral:rRNA from 1 species
GAUGAACGCUAGCGGGAGGCCUAACACAUGCAAGCCGAGCGGUAUUGUUUCUUCGGAAAUGCGAGAGCGGCGUACGGGUGCGUAACACGUGUGCAACCUGCCUUUAUCUGGGGGAUAGCCUUUCGAAAGGAAGAUUAAUACUCCAUAAUAUAUUGAACGGCAUCGUUUAAUAUUGAAAGCUCCGGCGGAUAGAGAUGGGCACGCGCAAGAUUAGCUAGUUGGUGAGGUAACGGCUCACCAAGGCGAUGAUCUUUAGGGGGCCUGAGAGGGUGAUCCCCCACACUGGUACUGAGACACGGACCAGACUCCUACGGGAGGCAGCAGUGAGGAAUAUUGGUCAAUGGGUGCAAGCCUGAACCAGCCAUCCCGCGUGAAGGACGACUGCCCUAUGGGUUGUAAACUUCUUUUGUAUAGGGAUAAACCUACCCUCGAGAGGGUAGCUGAAGGUACUAUACGAAUAAGCACCGGCUAACUCCGUG